rnacentral:tRNA from 1 species
GCCUGGGUGGCUCAGUCGGUUAAGCGUCUGACUUCACCUCAGAUCAUGAUCUCGUGGUCCGUGGGUUUGAACCCCGCGUCAGGCU